UGUUUGAGAGGAGGGGGUAGCUGGGAGGGGCAGCAGGAGAUGCCAGGAACAGCUUCCCCUAGCACAGCACAGACUACAGACAGGGGAGCCUCUGGGGCUGCAGACACUGCAGACGGACGGACAGACAGAUGGACAACAGCUGGAGGCUUGGCCCGGCCAUAGGGCUCUCUGCGGGACAGUCCCAGCUGCUAGUGUCGCUGUUGCUGCUACUGACCCGUGUCCAGCCUGGGACAGACGUGGCUGCCCCAGAGCACAUCAGCUAUGUGCCCCAGCUCUCAAACGACACCUUGGCGGGGAGGCUCACCCUGUCCACCUUCACGCUGGAGCAGCCUCUAGGCCAGUUCAGCAGCCACAACAUCUCUGACUUGGAUACCAUCUGGCUGGUGGUGGCCCUCAGCAACGCCACCCAGAGCUUCACGGCCCCACGGACAAACCAGGACAUCCCUGCUCCUGCCAACUUCUCCCAGAGGGGCUACUAUCUCACACUGAGGGCCAACCGGGUGCUGUACCAGACCAGAGGCCAGCUCCAUGUCCUCCGCGUCGGCAAUGAUACCCACUGCCAACCAACAAAAAUUGGCUGCAACCAUCCCCUACCAGGACCCGGCCCCUACAGGGUGAAGUUCCUGGUGAUGAAUGACGAAGGACCCGUGGCUGAAACAAAGUGGUCCAGCGACACUCGCCUGCAGCAAGCCCAGGCACUUCGGGCUGUCCCCGGCCCCCAGAGCCCGGGCACCGUGGUCAUCAUCGCCAUCCUGUCUAUCCUCCUGGCCGUCCUCCUCACGGUCCUCCUGGCUGUGCUCAUAUACACCUGCCCCAGCUCUUCUCCUUCAAGCCCAGCUCAGGUGCCGCCUCUUCCAGGAAGCCCCCUGGGACCAUCUCCAGUCUCAGUGGGAGCAGUGUGUCCUUGGUUGCUCCCAGAGUCUAUAGCAGAGAUCUGGACCCAAGACUCUGGACUCCCGGCUUUGGGCUGGCAGCACUGGCAGCAGCGACCCCUACUGCAUCGUGAAGGUGGACAAUGAGCCCAUCAUCAGGACAGCCACAGUGUGGAAGACCCUGUGCCCCUUCUGGGGUGAGGAGUACCAAGUGCACCUGCCGCCCACCUUCCACGCUGUGGCUUUCUAUGUCAUGGAUGAGGAUGCCCUCAGCCGGGACGACGUUAUCGGAAAGGUCUGCCUUACAAGGGACACCAUAGCCUCUCACCCUAAGGGUUUCAGCGGGUGGGCCCACCUGACAGAGGUCGACCCCGACGAGGAGGUGCAGGGCGAGAUCCACCUGCGGCUGGAAGUGUGGCCAGGGGCCCGGGCCUGCCGGCUACGCUGCUCUGUGCUGGAGGCCAGGGAUCUGGCCCCAAAGGACCGCAAUGGCACAUCUGACCCCUUCGUCCGAGUGCGCUACAAGGGCCGGACACGGGAGACCUCGAUCGUGAAGAAGUCAUGCUACCCACGCUGGAAUGAGACGUUUGAAUUUGAGCUGCAGGAGGGGGCCAUGGAGGCGCUGUGCGUGGAGGCCUGGGACUGGGACCUUGUCAGCCGAAACGACUUCCUGGGCAAAGUGGUGAUUGAUGUCCAGAGACUGCGGGUGGUGCAGCAGGAGGAGGGCUGGUUCCGGCUGCAGCCCGACCAGUCCAAGAGCCGGCGGCAUGACGAGGGCAACCUGGGCUCCUUGCAGCUGGAGGUGCGGCUGCGGGACGAGACGGUGCUGCCCUCCAGCUACUACCAGCCACUGGUGCACCUGCUGUGCCACGAGGUCAAGCUGGGCAUGCAGGGCCCAGGGCAGCUGAUCCCACUCAUCGAGGAGACAACCAGCACCGAGUGUCGCCAGGACGUGGCCACGAACCUGCUCAAGCUCUUCCUGGGGCAGGGGCUGGCCAAGGACUUCCUGGACCUGCUCUUCCAGCUGGAGCUGAGUCGCACCAGUGAGACCAACACCCUGUUCCGGAGCAACUCUCUGGCCUCAAAGUCCGUGGAGUCUUUUCUGAAGGUGGCCGGGAUGCAGUACCUGCACGGCGUCCUGGGCCCCAUCAUCAACAAGGUGUUUGAGGAGAAGAAGUACGUGGAGCUGGACCCCAGCAAAGUGGAAGUUAAGGAUGUAGGGUGCUCCGGGCUGCACCGCCCGCAGACCGAGGCCGAGGUGCUGGAGCAGAGCGCGCAGACGCUGCGCGCCCACCUGGGGGCCCUGCUGAGCGCGCUCAGCCGCUCGGUUCGCGCGUGCCCCGCCGUGGUGCGCGCCACCUUCCGCCAGCUCUUCCGGCGCGUGCGCGAGCGCUUCCCCGGCGCCCAGCACGAGAAUGUACCGUUCAUCGCCGUCACCAGCUUCCUGUGCCUGCGCUUCUUCUCUCCCGCCAUCAUGUCGCCCAAGCUCUUCCACCUGCGGGAGCGCCACGCGGACGCCCGCACCAGCCGCACCCUGCUCCUGUUGGCCAAGGCAGUCCAGAACGUGGGCAACAUGGACACGCCGGCUUCCAGGGCCAAGGAGGCUUGGAUGGAGCCGCUGCAGCCCACCGUGCACCAGGGCGUGGCGCAGCUGAAGGACUUCAUCACCAAGCUCGUGGACAUCGAGGAGAAGGACGAGCUGGACCUGCAGCGGACGCUGAGUUUGCAGGCGCCACCUGUGAAGGAGGGGCCACUCUUCAUCCACAGGACCAAGGGCAAGGGCCCCCUCAUGUCCUCCUCCUUCAAGAAGCUCUACUUCUCCCUCACUACCGAGGCCCUCAGCUUCGCGAAGACGCCCAGCUCCAAGAAAAGCGCCCUCAUCAAGUUAGCCAACAUCCGGGCAGCGGAAAAGGUUGAGGAAAAGAGCUUUGGCGGCUCGCACGUCAUGCAGGUCAUCUACACGGACGACGCCGGCAGGCCCCAGACUGCCUACCUGCAGUGCAAGUGUGUGAAUGAGCUUAACCAGUGGCUGUCUGCGCUGCGGAAGGUGAGCAUCAACAACACCGGACUGCUGGGCUCCUACCACCCUGGCGUCUUCCGUGGGGACAAGUGGAGCUGCUGCCACCAAAAAGAGAAGACAGGUCAGGGCUGCGAUAAGACCCGGUCACGGGUGACCCUGCAGGAGUGGAAUGACCCUCUUGACCAUGACCUUGAGGCCCAGCUCAUCUACCGGCACCUGCUGGGCGUGGAGGCCAUGCUGUGGGAGAGGCACCGGGAGCUGAGCGGGGGCGCAGAGGCAGGCACGGUGCCCACGAGCCCUGGCAAAGUCCCCGAGGACUCAUUGGCCCGGCUGCUCCGGGUGCUGCAGGACCUCCGCGAGGCCCAUAGCUCCAGCCCGGCCGGCUCCCCACCCUCAGAGCCCAACUGCCUCCUGGAGCUGCAGACGUGAGGCCCGCCCUACGCUCCCCUUGCUGAGUCCCCUGCCAAGCGCUCGGAGCCCCCCCAGGACACUCUGCACCCCCUCACCCCGGUCCUCCUCAUUAGGGUGCAGGGCCUAGGUCUCUUCCAGGUGGGGGAGGGGGGAGAGUCAGGAAUAAGGGGAUCCCCAGAAGUGCAGAGCUGAGCAGGCUUGGGCCUGUCAUGGCUGGCCGGAAGUGUCCCCAGCUCCCUACAGACGCUGUAGCCAUCACUGCCUCU
rnacentral:lncRNA from 1 species